GACGCACGCUGGCGGCGUGCUUAACACAUGCAAGUCGAACGAGUGGCGAACGGGUGAGUAACACGUGGGUGAUCUGCCUUGCACUUCGGGAUAAGCUUGGGAAACUGGGUCUAAUACCCGAUAGUGCAAGAUGAGCCCGCGGCCUAUCAGCUUGUUGGUGGGGUAAUGGCUACCAAGGCGCGACGGGUAGCCGGCCUGAGAGGGUGUACGGCCACAAUGGUACUGAGAGAGGGCCCAGACUCCGACGGGGGGCAGCAGGUGGGAAUAGUACACGAUGGUCGGAAGUCUCAUGCAGCGACGGCGCGUGGGGGAUGUAGGCCUUCGGGUUGGAAACGCCUGUCGGCAGGGACGCGGUACCUGUAUAAGAAGCACCGGCUAACUACGUGCCAGCAGCCGCGGUAAUAC
rnacentral:rRNA from 1 species